UACGAGAGGCCCAAACGUUAUUCGGAAUUACUGGGCUUACAGAGUUCGUAGGCGGCUCAGAAAGUUGGGUGUGAAAUCCCUCGGCUCAACCGAGGAAUUGCGCUCAAAACUACUGAGCUUGAGGGGUAUAGAGGUAAGCGGAACUGAUGGUGGAGCGGUGAAAUGCGUUGAUAUCAAUCAGGAACACCGGUGGCGAAGGCGGCUUACUGGGUACCUCCUGACGCUGAGGAACGAAAGCUGGGGGAGCAAACAGG
rnacentral:rRNA from 1 species